GAUGAACGCUGGCGGCGUGCUCAACAUAUGCAAGUCGAACGAAGCACUUUAUUUGAUUUUCUUCGGGACUGAUUAUUUUGUGACUGAGUGGCGGACGGGUGAGUAACGCGCGGGUCACCAGCCUCGUACAGGGGGCUACCUGUUGGAAACGGCUGCCAAUACCGCAUAAGCGCACAGCAUCGCAUGAUGCAGUGUGAAAAACUCGGGUGGAAUCAGAUGGGCCCGCGUGGCAUUAGUUAGUUGGUGAGGUAACGACCCAGCAAGGCUUCGAUAUAUACCUUAGCUGAUAGCGUGACCGGCCGCAUUGGAAGUGGGACACGGCCUAAACACCUACGGGACGCUGGAGUGGGGAAUAUUGCGCUAUGAGUGACAGCUUGAUGCAGGUACGCCGCGUGAGGGUAGCAUUAUAUAAGUGUGUAAAUCUCUAUCAGCAGGGAAUGUUGUGACGGUACCUGACGGAGAAACACCAGCUGACUACGUG
rnacentral:rRNA from 1 species